AACGAACGCUGGCGGCAUGCCUAACACAUGCAAGUCGAACGAGACCUUCGGGCCUAGUGGCGCACGGGUGCGUGACGCGUGGGAACCUGCCCUUAGGUUCGGAAUAACUCCCCGAAAGGGGUGCUCAUAACGGAUAAUGUCUUCGGACCAAAGAUGUAUCGCCUUUGGAUGGGCCCGCGUUGGAUUAGCUAGUUGGUAGGGUAAAAGCCUACCAUGGCGACGAUCCAUAGCUGGUCUGAGAGGAUGAUCAGCCACACUGGGAAUGAGACACGGCCCAGACUCCUACGGGAGGCAGCAGUGGGGAAUAUUGGACAAUGGGCGAAAGCGUGAUCCAGCAAUGCCGCGUGAGUGAGGAAGGCCUUAGGGUUGUAAAGCUCUUUUACCCGGGAUGAUAAUGACAGUACCGGGAGAAUAAGCUCCGGCUAACUCCGUG
rnacentral:rRNA from 1 species